rnacentral:rRNA from 1 species
AUUGAACGCUGGCGGCAGGCCUAACACAUGCAAGUCGAGCGGAUGAAGGGAGCUUGCUCCUGGAUUCAGCGGCGGACGGGUGAGUAAUGCCUAGGAAUCUGCCUGGUAGUGGGGGAUAACGUCCGGAAACGGGCGCUAAUACCGCAUACGUCCUGAGGGAGAAAGUGGGGGAUCUUCGGACCUCACGCUAUCAGAUGAGCCUAGGUCGGAUUAGCUAGUUGGUGGGGUAAAGGCCUACCAAGGCGACGAUCCGUAACUGGUCUGAGAGGAUGAUCAGUCACACUGGAACUGAGACACGGUCCAGACUCCUACGGGAGGCAGCAGUGGGGAAUAUUGGACAAUGGGCGAAAGCCUGGUCCAGCCAUGCCGCGUGUGUGAAGAAGGCCUUCGGAUUGUAAAGCACUUUAAGUUGGGAGGAAGGGCAGUAAGUUAAUACCUUGCUGUUUUGACGUUACCAACAGAAUAAGCACCGGCUAACUUCGUG